rnacentral:rRNA from 1 species
GAUUGAGUUUGAUCAUGGCUCAGGACGAACGCUGGCGGCGUGCUUAACACAUGCAAGUCGAGCGGUAAGGCCUUUCGGGGUACACGAGCGGCGAACGGGUGAGUAACACGUGGGUGAUCUGCCCUGCACUUCGGGAUAAGCCUGGGAAACUGGGUCUAAUACCGGAUAUGACCUCCUAUCGCAUGGCGGGUGGUGGAAAGAUUUAUCGGUGCAGGAUGGGCCCGCGGCCUAUCAGCUUGUUGGUGGGGUAAUGGCCUACCAAGGCGACGACGGGUAGCCGACCUGAGAGGGUGACCGGCCACACUGGGACUGAGACACGGCCCAGACUCCUACGGGAGGCAGCAGUGGGGAAUAUUGCACAAUGGGCGAAAGCCUGAUGCGCGACGCCGCGUGAGGGAUGACGGCCUUCGGGUUGUAAACCUCUUUCAGCAGGGACGAAGCGCAAGUGACGGUACCUGCAGA